rnacentral:lncRNA from 1 species
AAAAAAAAAAGGUGGUACAAAAUACAUGUUAGAAUUUUAUAAUGGUUUGAUGAACAAAAAAUAAAAUAAAGAUAGUGUAAUGAUAAUUUUUUUUAAUUAUUAUUAUAAUUAAAAAAUAAGUACUUCAAAUAAUAAAAUUGGCUGCUCUAGACAGCUCAUUUUGAUAUGAUAAAGGAUCAUCGUGUUGAUACUUAGUUUCCCAUUCAAUUUGAACUAAAUAAUUGAGAAAAAAAUAAUUAUAAUUUCCUCUCUAUAUUUUUUUUUGAAACAUCACAUGCUAUUCAUAACAGUAAUUUUCUAACUAACGGGUGAUUGUGGCGUUAAAGUUGCAUAAUACUUAUCGCUCUAGGAAUGAUAAAAUGGGUCAACAAUUCGUGUUCGUGUUAUGUUAAAUUAGUGUCGUGUCAAAUUUAGAUAUAUCCAAACACAAUUGAUCUAAUAAUCGUGUCAAAAUAUUGAGACUUUAACAUAAUAUAGAAAAUAAACAAA